rnacentral:lncRNA from 1 species
UCGUAUGCUUGUGAAAGGCCUAUGUCUAUGGUUGUGGUUGAGCCAUUAAUUCUCCCUAACCAAGAUAUUGAGGAGUUGGAAGACGCACUUGCCAAGAUGAAGCAAGACAAGGAUAUGUGGGAAGAGCGGUCCCAUGCUUUGAGCCGAAAGCAUGAGGAGUUGCAGCUUGAGUCUAAGGGAAAAGACGUGCUUAUUGAGCUUCUUGAAGACUGAGCAGUAAAGAGACAGAGAUAUCCAAAG